rnacentral:rRNA from 1 species
UAGCAUAUCAUAAGCGGAGGAAAAGAAACCAACAGGGAUUGCCUCAGUAACGGCGAGUGAAGCGGCAACAGCUCAAAUUUGAAAUCUGGCCUCUUUGGGGUCCGAGUUGUGAUUUGUAGAGGAUGUUUCGGGUACCGCCUCAGUUUAAAUUUCUUGGAACACAAUGUCGGAGAGGGUGAGAAUCCCGUCUUGGACCGGCGGGAGGGCCCAUGUGAAACUCCUUCGACGAGUCGAGUUGUUUGGGAAUGCAGCUCAGGAUGGGUGGUAAAUUUCAUCUAAAGCUAAAUAUUGGCCAGAGACCGAUAGCGCACAGGUAGAGUGAUCGAAAGAUGAAAAGAACUUUGAAAAGAGAGUUAAACAGUAUGUGAAAUUGUUGAAAGGGAAGCGCUUGCAACCAGACUUGAGCGCGGCGGUUCCCCCUUCCUUUUGGUUGGGUUACUCCGCCGUGUCCAGGCCAACAUCGGUUCUGGGGGUCGGUUAAAGGCCCGGGGAAUGUACCUACUCCUUCGGGGGUAGACUUAUAGCCCCGGGUGUCAUGCGACCACCCGGGACCGAGGAACGCGCUUCGGCUCGGAUGUUGGCGUAAUGGUUGUCAGCGACCCGUCUUGAAACACGGACCAAGGAGUCUAACAUCUAUGCGAGUGUUUGGGUGUCAAACCCGGAACGCGAAAUGAAAAGUGAACGGAGGUAGGAAGCCUUUGGGCUGCACUAUCGACCGAUCCUGAUGUCUUCGGAUGGAUUUGAGUAAGAGCAUAGCUGAUUGGGACCCGAAAGAUGGUGAACUAUGCCUGAAUAGGGUGAAGCCAGAGGAAACUCUNGGUGGAGGCUCGCAGCGGUUCUGACGUGCAAAUCGAUCGUCAAAUUUGGGUAUAGGGGCGAAAGACUAAUCCAAC